AAACUCUGUUGUUAAAGAAGAACAUAUCUGAGAGUAACUGUUCAGGUAUUGACGGUAUUUAACCAGAAAGCCACGGCUAAUUACGUGCCAGCAGCCGCGGUAAUACGUAGGUGGCAAGCGUUGUCCGGAUUUAUUGGGCGUAAAGCGAGCGCAGGCGGUUUUUUAAGUCUGAUGUGAAAGCCUUCGGCUCAACCGAAGAAGUGCAUCGGAAACUGGGAAACUUGAGUGCAGAAGAGGACAGUGGAACUCCAUGUGUAGCGGUGAAAUGCGUAGAUAUAUGGAAGAACACCAGUGGCGAAGGCGGCUGUCUGGUCUGUAACUGACGCUGAGGCUCGAAAGUAUGGGUAGCAAACAGGAUUAGAUACCCUGGUAGUCCAUACCGUAAACGAUGAAUGCUAAGUGUUGGAGGGUUUCCGCCCUUCAGUGCUGCAGCUAACGCAUUAAGCAUUCCGCCUGGGGAGUACGGCCGCAAGGCUGAAACUCAAAGGAAUUGACGGGGGCCCGCACAAGCGGUGGAGCAUGUGGUUUAAUUCGAAGCUACGCGAAGAACCUUACCAGGUCUUGACAUACUAUGCAAAUCUAAGAGAUUAGACGUUCCCUUCGGGGACAUGGAUACAGGUGGUGCAUGGUUGUCGUCAGCUCGUGUCGUGAGAUGUUGGGUUAAGUCCCGCAACGAGCGCAACCCUUAUUAUCAGUUGCCAGCAUUAAGUUGGGCACUCUGGUGAGACUGCCGGUGACAAACCGGAGGAAGGUGGGGAUGACGUCAAAUCAUCAUGCCCCUUAUGACCUGGGCUACACACGUGCUACAAUGGAUGGUACAACGAGUUGCGAACUCGCGAGAGUAAGCUAAUCUCUUAAAGCCAUUCUCAGUUCGGAUUGUAGGCUGCAACUCGCCUACAUGAAGUCGGAAUCGCUAGUAAUCGCGGAUCAGCAUGCCGCGGUGAAUACGUUCCCGGGCCUUGUACACACCGCCCGUCACACCAUGAGAGUUUGUAACACCCAAAGUCGGUGGGGUAACCUUUUAGGAAAA
rnacentral:rRNA from 1 species